AUCUAGGAUUUUGUGGAGGGAGAUGAGGCUCUACACGUUUUGGGGGAGCUCUUGUGCUUGGCGAGUGAGGCUGGCGCUCGCAUUGAAAGGGAUUCCAUACGAGUACCAGGCUGUGGGUUUCGCAAAUGGUCUGCUCGACGAUGAGUUUUCGAAGAUCAAUCCCUUGAGUAUGGUGCCUGCACUAGAAACCGAAGAAGAUGGACUUUUGAUUGACUCUGUAGCAAUUGUGGAGUAUUUGGAAGAAAAAUACCCAGAGAAGCCACUCCUGCCUAAAAACUUGAAGCAGCGAGCGACAAUUCGCCAGAUUGUCAAUCUCAUCGCGUCAAAUAUUCAGCCUCUGCAAAAUGGAGGCCGCGUUCUGAAUAUGAUCAAGGAGAAACUUGGCGACGAGGAGACACUCAAGUGGGCGCAACACUGGAUUGUCAUUGGUUUCAACGCUCUCGAGGAGAUCGUGAAGAAGACAUCGGGAAAAUACUGCUUUGGAGACACACUCACCCUCGCUGAUGUAUUUGUCAUCCCACAGAUCGGCAACGCGGAGCGUUACAAGGUCGAUAUGACGCCAUAUCCAACACUCCGGAGGCUCAAGGAGGAGCUUCACAAGCUGGAAGAAGUGCGGCAGUCGGUUCCACGACUCCAGCCGGAUUUUCCGACGGAAUAGCUUGCGAAAGCAUCCAAUAAAACUUCUGGCUCAAUAAGUUCUCCAAGCUUACACUUAGUUGUCCAUCUAGGCAGAGUUACUCGUCCAAGAGCUGAAGGAAGCUCGACUUUGUCACAGACAGUCCUGGUAAAUAGUUUGAUAUCCUUUUCUGACUUGAGCUCUUGGAAGUAUUGCAGCCAUAUACUCUUCAGGAUUUGUGAUCUGAAGAAAGCGGUGAGCAAUCGUGACAUGAGUUUCAUGCUCGAUCGUGAAGCCAAACUUCCUGGAGAGGAAAAGCCCCGGGAGAUACUUGCGUAGCGGGAAGCAGCGCACCGGCAGUGGCAAAUCUAGGCACGGAAAUCUACUGAUAGCGUACGAGGGGUGGGAAGUCUUGCAUUGUCCAGCAGCAUUGAUGCAAGCUCUAGUUUUAGAGACUGAGAAAAAGGACGAUGAAAAGGCUUCGCGCGCUUCGCUAGCAGCAGCAGCAGCAGCAGCCAGCAGCAGCACUAGUUUUGGUUUGGCGCGUUUUGCACAGUGGCCAAUGGUACUUCGCAACAAAAUCGAUUUUUUUUU